UUGUCUUUUUUUUCAAUUUUUCUGGUUCUUCAUUCAGUUUAAAUUUCUAUUUGAUUUGCCAAGAAAAGUAAAACCGCUGAUUUAACUAGUUUUAAAGAAUGUAUUAACAUUGAUUCUUUGCUUUAUGUAAUCUUGGAUCGCUUGUGUUAAUUAAAAAUUAUUUCCUUAUGCUAAGAAAUUUGAAAUGCUACACAGGUGAAGCCAUUUGAGGGGGCAGCAACUAUGUAGCAGAAGAAGAAGAAUUUUUGUUUCGAUUUCUGGGUUUUUGCGCCUUCGGCUAAUGAACAGCUUAAAGAACCAUUUUCUGAUUGGUAUUCUGCCAAUAGGCGUAACUGGGGACGGGUUUUUGCUAAAAUUAUUGUUAAUCAAGAAUGAUUUUAGAACCUUGGAAACAUUAACACUUGAAAAUAAAAAUAAAGUAAUGCAUGAUGCUGGGUAAAGACGGGUUUUAUUUGUUUCUUGGACUUCUAUUAUUGAAGCUUUUAGGAUUUUUACUCAAAUGAACAGAGUUAAUGUUAAACCUGAUUGGAUUGCACCGGUUAGUGUCCUUAAUGUUGGUGACUUAGAACACGGAAAGUCUGUUCAUGGCCGUGUUAUUAAAAUGUGGAAUGCAAUGAUUUCUGGUUAUGUGAAGAAUGGGGUACCCCGAGGAAUUUGAAACCAGAUUAUAUUUUGAUCUUUGCAAGAUGGAUGAGUGAUUUUAUAUUAGUAAAACUGAGUCAAAAAAUGAUGCUUUUGUUAGCUCUUCUCUCAUUGACAGUUUGAUUAUGAUUUAAUGUUACACUUCAUUUUCUUGUUCUAUCGAAUGCGAACUUUAAAAAAUUUCACAUUUGAGAAGUGGUAGCUGAUUAAACCCUUGUGCAUUUGUUUCAUAUAAAACUGGUAUUUAUGGAAGUGGUAUUGAUUGUUGUUAUUAAUUGGUAUAUGCAUUGUUGUUAACUCACUUGCUGCUGUAACUGAACUUUUGAAAUGCUAUGCAGGUGAAGCCAUUUGAGGGGCAGCAACAGUCCCUGUGGCCAAUGCCCAAAAUGCAGCAGCGGCGGAGAAUUACAAGAAUCAGAGAAAAGGCUAAAAUUCAAAAAAGAGAUAGCAGCAAGAGAGGCUGCUGAGAAGUCGUUGAGAUUGGCGGGUUGAAACAGAACAAAAGAGAUCAAAUGAGACUCAAAAUCUCGGAAUUUUUUCCUCAUUUUGGUUCGGUAUCCUGAGCAGGUAAAAGUUAAUGUUGUUAUCAAGUUGUGUUUGUUUAUUGAAGCCAAGUUAUUUUAGCAUGAUAAUAUUGUGCCUUCGAGUUCAUGUUAUCAUUUCAGAUUGAAGUUUUUUGUUCUGUUGUUGUGGUUGUAGAGACAUCUAAUUCUCUUUUGCAUUUGUUUUAUAUAAACUGGUAUUUAUGAAAGUGGUAUAGAGAAUGUUGUUGUUAUUAAAGUGGUAUAUGCAUUGUUAUUAAAAUUAUCCUGCAGAAUGAUUUCUACAAAUUCGCAUGCUUAUUUUACAUUAAAUCAUUGUCAAUUGUUUGUCAAACGUUGUCCUGUCUGAAUCAGAUAUGCAAAUGAAAGUGUAAGCUAUUAUUUCUUUGGUCAAGAGUCGAUGUUUUGUACUAAGUUUUUCGUAGAUGCUUUAAACUGCGUAUAGUGAACUAUGCUUUUAGACUGCUGGUUUUGUGUCUGAUACUCUCUGAUUAGUUCUACAAAUGGUGCUUUUAUUCACUUCUUGAUGGCCUGUGUAUAGUGAUUUAAAACUACGUGGUUGAUAAAAAUGUGUGGUUCAGCCGGAAGUGGUGGCCAGCGGUGGGGGAGCGCUGGUCAUCGUUGGCGGCGGAAUGGUCGAAGGCCGGAGAAGUUGCCAUGGUGGCUGGUGGGGUAGCGUUAGUCGACGGUGGUACAUAUUUUUUUUUUACAGUUUUAGUUUUUUGUCUUGAUCGGUUGAUAUGAUUAUAUGGUUCAUGAUUGCAAUUGAGUCUUGUCCUAAUAUUGAUUGCAAUUGAGUCUUGUCCUAAUAUUGUUGUCGGUAUUACUAGUAAAUUAGAGUUUUUAGAUUAGUUGUUAGUAUUAUAGUUUUUAAA